UUCCGGUAUUUUGAACAUUGAGCCCCCUUUCUGGUUUGUUUAGGAUGAAAUAGAGUGGGUGACACCGAAAUUUGAACUAUUAGUCCUUUCUCGGGUAUUUGGCUCAUUUUGAAUCGCUCCUGCCUGCUUCACAAUGGUUGUCUGUGUGCAUACACAAACCUGUCAACCCAGCAACCCUAAACGUUCGUUUUCAAAAAUGUGCAAGUAACCGAGUGGUUAGUGGCAUUCGUGAAGUUUAAAAAAAAAAUAUCGGCGCAAUAUAUGUUUUCCAUCCGUGUUAGUUGCUAAAUUGAACUAUUUUUUCAGAUACCUCACAACCGCAUAUAAACUUCCGCACAAGGUCCCACUCCGUGCAGCACCUACUUUCGACUUCCGUCGGCAUCUGCCUGCACUUCCCACAGGCACACCACCCGCCCGCGCCUCCGUAGCCCUAGCCUCCAUCUCACGUAGCUCCUCUUGGGUGAAUUCUGGUUCAAAACGAUAUCCUCUGCCGUCAAAAUCGAGUGCGUCCUCCAGAAGCCACCUUUCAUAAUCCAUUUUCAGUGAUUUUCUAUGUGAUUUUCCCUAAUCCGAAGUGCUCACGGUACAAGACUUCAAACCAACGUAAACAGCCCACCUUUCCGGUUCGGCGGAGUAAUAUCAUCGUGCAGUAAUGAGUCUUCCAACUGAAAUCAACUGGCGAUAAAUAUGCAAUAAAACACGACAGAAACCAUAUAUUGCGCCGAUAUUUUUUUUUUAAACUUCACGAAUGUCACUAACCACUCGGUUACUUGCACAUUUUUGAAAACGAACGUUUAGGGUUGCUGGGUUGACAGGUUUGUGUAUGCACACAGACAACCAGUGUGAAGCAGGCAGGAGCGAUUCAAAAUGAGCCAAAUACCCGAGAAAGGACUAAUAGUUCAAAUUUCGGUGUCACCCACUCUAUUUCAUCCUAAACAAACCAGAAAGGGGGCUCAAUGUUCAAAAUACCGGAAUUGUCCUUUAA